CGGUAAUWYGUAGGUGGCAAGCGUUAUCCSGGAAUUAUUGGGCGUAAAGCGCGCGCAGGGUGGUUUCUUAAAGUCUGAUGUGAAAGCCCACGGCUCAACCGUGGAGGGUCAUUGGAAACUGGGAGACUUGAGUGCAGAAGAGGAAAGUGGAAUUCCAUGUGUAGCGGUGAAAUGCGUAGAGAUAUGGAGGAACACCAGUGGCGAAGGCGACUUUCUGGUCUGUAACUGACACUGAGGCGCGAAAGCGUGGGGAGCAAACAGGAUUAGAUACCCUGGUAGUCCACGCCGUAAACGAUGAGUGCUAAGUGUUAGAGGGUUUCCGCCCUUUAGUGCUGAAGUUAACGCAUUAAGCACUCCGCCUGGGGAGUACGGCCGCAAGGCUGAAACUCAAAGGAAUUGACGGGGGCCCGCACAAGCRGUGGAGCAUGUGGUUUAAUUCGAAGCAACGCGAAGAACCUUACCAGGUCUUGACAUCCUCUGAAAACCCUAGAGAUAGGGCUUCUCCUUCGGGAGCAGAGUGACAGGUGGUGCAUGGUUGUCGUCAGCUCGUGUCGUGAGAUGUUGGGUUAAGUCCCGCAACGAGCGCAACCCUUGAUCUUAGUUGCCAUCAUUAAGUUGGGCACUCUAAGGUGACUGCCGGUGACAAACCGGAGGARGGUGGGGAUGACGUCAAAUCAUCAUGCCCCUUAUGACCUGGGCUACACACGUGCUACAAUGGACGGUACAAAGARCUGCAAGACCGCGAGGUGGAGCUAAUCUCAUAAAACCGUUYUCUKUUCAGAUUGUAGGCUGCAACUCGCCUACAUGAAGCUGGAAUCGC
rnacentral:rRNA from 1 species